GACGAACGCUGGCGGCGUGCCUAAUACAUGCAAGUCGAACGAGAGCGACCGGUGCUUGCACUGGUCAAUCUAGUGGCGAACGGGUGAGUAACACGUGGGUAACCUGCCCAUCAGAGGGGGAUAACAUUCGGAAACGGAUGCUAAAACCGCAUAGGUCUUCGAACCGCAUGGUUUGAAGAGGAAAAGAGGCGCAAGCUUCUGCUGAUGGAUGGACCCGCGGUGCAUUAGCUAGUUGGUGAGGUAACGGCUCACCAAGGCCGUGAUGCAUAGCCGACCUGAGAGGGUGAUCGGCCACAUUGGGACUGAGACACGGCCCAAACUCCUACGGGAGGCAGCAGUAGGGAAUCUUCCGCAAUGGACGCAAGUCUGACGGAGCAACGCCGCGUGAGUGAAGAAGGUUUUCGGAUCGUAAAACUCUGUUGUUAGAGAAGAACAAGUGCUAGAGUAACUGUUAGCGCCUUGACGGUAUCUAAC
rnacentral:rRNA from 1 species